rnacentral:sRNA from 1 species
UAUCCCCCAAACUAAGGGGGGAUGAGAACCACCGACCGGGGUUCGACAACUGACGCAGCCAGUUGGACAGACGACGAGCUUGCGAGGAGACUGCCCGAAGGGCGAGCGCAGCGAGUCAAUCCCCCCCUCACCGCCA